rnacentral:rRNA from 1 species
AGAAAUUUGGAUUAAUACCUCAUAGUAUAUAUGAAUGGCAUCAUUUAUAUAUUAAAGUCACAACGGUGAAAGAUGAGCAUGCGUCCCAUUAGCUAGUUGGUAAGGUAACGGCUUACCAAGGCAACGAUGGGUAGGGGUCCUGAGAGGGAGAUCCCCCACACUGGUACUGAGACACGGACCAGACUCCUACGGGAGGCAGCAGUGAGGAAUAUUGGACAAUGGGCGCAAGCCUGAUCCAGCCAUGCCGCGUGCAGGAUGACGGUCCUAUGGAUUGUAAACUGCUUUUAUACGAGAAGAAACACUCCGACGUGUCGGAGCUUGACGGUAUCGUAAGAAUAAGGAUCGGCUAACUCCGUGCCAGCAGCCGCGGUAAUACGGAGGAUCCAAGCGUUAUCCGGAAUCAUUGGGUUUAAAGGGUCCGUAGGCGGUCAGGUAAGUCAGUGGUGAAAGCCCAUCGCUCAACGGUGGAACGGCCAUUGAUACUGUCUGACUUGAAUUAUUAGGAAGUAACUAGAAUAUGUAGUGUAGCGGUGAAAUGCUUAGAGAUUACAUGGAAUACCAAUUGCGAAGGCAGGUUACUACUAAUGGAUUGACGCUGAUGGACGAAAGCGU